rnacentral:tRNA from 1 species
CUAACUAAACUUUAGAGGUUAAAGCGUCUGCCUGCAAUGCAGGAGACCCAGGUUCAAUCCCUGGGUUGG